rnacentral:rRNA from 1 species
GAUCAGCCACACUGGAACUGAGACACGGUCCAGACUCCUACGGGAGGCAGCAGUUAGGAAUUUUCCACAAUGGGCGAAAGCCUGAUGGAGCAACGCCGCGUGCAGGAUGAAGGCCUUCGGGUUGUAAACUGCUUUUAUAAGUGAAGAAUAUGACGGUAACUUAUGAAUAAGCACCGGCUAACUACGUGCCAGCAGCCGCGGUCAUACGUAGGGUGCAAGCAUUAUCCGGAGUGACUGGGCGUAAAGAGUUGCGUAGGUGGACAAGUAAGCGAAUAGUGAAAUCUGGCGGCUCAACCGUACAGACUAUUAUUCGAACUGCUUGUCUCGAGAAUGGUAGAGGUAACUGGAAUUUCUAGUGUAGGAGUGAAAUCCGUAGAUAUUAGAAGGAACACCAAUGGCGUAGGCAGGUUACUGGACCAUUUCUGACACUGAGGCACGAAAGCGUGGGGAGCGAACCGGAUUAGAUACCCGGGUAGUCCACGCCGUAAACUAUGGAUACUAGCUGUUGGAGGUAUCGACCCCUUCAGUAGCGAAGCUAACGCGUUAAGUAUCCCGCCUGUGGAGUACGGUCGCAAGACUAAAACAUAAAGGAAUUGACGGGGACCCGCACAAGCGGUGGAGCGUGUUCUUUAAUUCGAUGAUAAACGAAGAACCUUACCAGGGCUUGACAUCCCUUGAAUUACUCCGAAAGGAGUGAGUGCUUUAUUGAGCAAGGUGACAGGUGUUGCAUGGCCGUCGUCAGCUCGUGUCGUGAGAUGUUUGGUUAAGU